rnacentral:rRNA from 1 species
AUUCGCCUACGGGAGGCAGCAGUGAGGAAUAUUGGUCAAUGGCCGAGAGGCUGAACCAGCCAAGUCGCGUGAGGGAUGACGGCCCUACGGGUUGUAAACCUCUUUUGUCGGGGAGCAAGACCCGCCACGAGUGGCGGAGCGAGAGUACCCGAAGAAAAAGCAUCGGCUAACUCCGAGCCAGAAGCCGCGGGAAUACGGAGGAUGCGAGCGUUAUCCGGAUUUAUUGGGUUUAAAGGGAGCGCAGGCG